rnacentral:rRNA from 1 species
UCGAGUGGCGAACGGGUGAGUAACACGUGGGUGAUCUGCCCUGUACUUUGGGAUAAGCCUGGGAAACUGGGUCUAAUACCGAAUAUGACCACUUCUUGGAUGGGGUGGUGGAAAGCUUUUGCGGUAUGGGAUGAGCUCGCGGCCUAUCAGCUUGUUGGUGGGGUAAUGGCCUACCAAGGCGUCGACGGGUAGCCGGCCUGAGAGGGUGUACGGCCACAUUGGGACUGAGAUACGGCCCAGACUCCUACGGGAGGCAGCAGUGGGGAAUAUUGCACAAUGGGCGCAAGCCUGAUGCAGCGACGCCGCGUGGGGGAUGACGGCCUUCGGGUUGUAAACUCCUUUCGCAACCGACGAAGCUUUUGUGACGGUAGGUUGAGAAGAAGCACCGGCUAACUACGUGCCAGCAGCCGCGGUAAUACGUAGGGUGCGAGCGUUGUCCGGAAUUACUGGGCGUAAAGAGCUCGUAGGUGGUUUGUCGCGUCGUUUGUGGAAUACCGCAGCUUAACUGCGGGGUUGCAGGCGAUACGGGCAUAACUUGAGUGCUGUAGGGGAGACUGGAAU